UAGUAAGUGUUUUAUGGCACUUUUUAAAUCCAUAUCCACCUUGUGUGCAAUGUCAGUCGAUCUUCUUCAUGGAGAUCGACCAAACAUCAACCUUUAUCUUUUAACUCUUUGUCUGAAAAAUAUUAUGAAUAAACAAUUCAAAAUA
rnacentral:misc_RNA from 1 species